UACGGAGGGGGCUAGCGUUGUUCGGAAUUACUGGGCGUAAAGCGCACGUAGGCGGAUUGGAAAGUCAGAGGUGAAAUCCCAGGGCUCAACCUUGGAACUGCCUUUGAAACUCCCAGUCUUGAGGUCGAGAGAGGUGAGUGGAAUUCCGAGUGUAGAGGUGAAAUUCGUAGAUAUUCGGAGGAACACCAGUGGCGAAGGCGGCUCACUGGCUCGAUACUGACGCUGAGGUGCGAAAGCGUGGGGAGCAAACAGG
rnacentral:rRNA from 1 species